rnacentral:rRNA from 1 species
GAUUUCUGGCUUGAAACAUUUGGCCGGCCACGGUUUCGUGUGUUAGUGCUUUGUGUUCUGGCCAUCCUUCCAAUGGCUGCUCACUUUUCUUCAUUGAUUGGUGAGUGGUAUUGGAUCUUUUACUUUGAAAAAAUUAGAGUGUUUCAAGCAGGCUUUAUGCUAUGAAUACAUUAGCAUGGAAUAAUAAUUUAGGACUUUGGCCCUAUUUUGUUGGUUUCUAGGACUGAAGUAAUGAUUGAUAGGGAUAGUUGGGGGUGCUCGAAUUCAGCGGCCAGAGGUGAAAUUCUUGGAUUCGCUGAAGACGAACUCAUGCGAAAGCAUU